rnacentral:rRNA from 1 species
GAUGAACGCUGGCGGCGUGCCUAAUACAUGCAAGUCGAGCGAACAGACGAGGAGCUUGCUCCUCUGACGUUAGCGGCGGACGGGUGAGUAGCACGUGGAUAACCUACCUAUAAGACUGGGAUAACUUUGGGAAACCGGAGCUAAUACCGGAUAAUAUAUUGAACCGCAUGGUUCAAUAGUGAAAGACGGUUUUGCUGUCACUUAUAGAUGGAUCCGCGCCGCAUUAGCUAGUUGGUAAGGUAACGGCUUACCAAGGCAACGAUGCGUAGCCGACCUGAGAGGGUGAUCGGCCACACUGGAACUGAGACACGGUCCAGACUCCUACGGGAGGCAGCAGUAGGGAAUCUUCCGCAAUGGGCGAAAGCCUGACGGAGCAACGCCGCGUGAGUGAUGAAGGUCUUCGGAUCGUAAAACUCUGUUAUUAGGGAAGAACAAAUGUGUAAGUAACUAUGCACGUCUUGACGGUACCUAAUCAGAAAGCCACGGCUAACUACGUG